rnacentral:lncRNA from 10 species
CAAUCAGGCUAGACCAACUGGAGGAAGUGGAGGCCAAAGUAGCCGCAGGCCAGAGCAGGCCAAAUUACUAGUUCUGUCCAUUCUACUGCAAGUCCCAACACAAGUAGAUCUUACCGCUCCCAGGUCAGCAAAAGGGCACACAGAGUAGACCCACUGGCGACAGAGGAAAAGGAGCAAGGACAAGGAAAGAAGUUUGUGCCUUGGUGCCCAAUGCUGCCUUCCUCAGACCUUGGGCUGGUCAGAGCAGUAGCUAACCUGCAUGGGAGGAACAUCCAAAACAGAGAGAUUUGGCCAGGCCUGUUGGUCAAGCAGAAUCCAAUAAGCUCAGAAUGAUCCCUCCAAACUAGGUAACUUUUCUUCUGAUUAGAAAUUUUACUUCUCAAGUAAUUUUUUAAAAUCAUAACUGAAUAUCCAAAAUGGCAGAUUUAAGUAUUUCACUCACUGGAAAAGUUUAAAACAUCAUUGCAAAAUAAUGCAAUGUUUUUCUGAUUUAUUUCCCAGUCUCUUAAGUUAAAUUGCUUAGUGCAUGUCAGUCUGUAAGGGAGGCUGUGCAGUGUAGUAGAAAGGAUGAGGAUUUGAAACCAUACUUACCUGAGUUCAGAUGCUGAUUCUGUCCGCCAUUACCACUGUGUUACCGUGGACAAGUCAUUUGAACAGUCUAUGAACCUAAGUUUCCUCCACUUCUAACAAACAAACGAACAAACAAAAAAGGUGGCAUAUGGGGGUUGUUAGGGUUAAAUGAAAUAGCAUUAGAACGUGUGUAGCACACAGCUUUGCAGGCAAUCAGCACUCAAAAUAUUAGAUGUCUUCUACCUCUGGCUUCUUUCCCCCUGAGAUCCUGAUCAACCCUCCAUGGACCAACAAAAUCAAACCUGUAUGACUGUAUGAAUCUGCUAUGGAUUAGAGCAGGGUCCUGGAGGCCUACAAAGGCAGUGCCCUCAGUGGGCUCUGCUGGACCCGUCAGCUAAACCAUUCCCUAAGGUAUCUCUGUCUGUUCCUCAUUGCUCACAUUCGUGUGCAGAAACAUGCACCCACCUCUAGCCAUGCUCAGGCAACGUCAAGUAUAAUAUACAUGUAGUUUAAAAAAAAACCCCAGCAACUUCCCCUUAAUAAAUACAUCUCUCAUGAACCCUGGCAUUUUGCACAUAACAUUUUUAAGAUAGAGAAAAUAACAGUAGUAUCAACCUCAAUCUACAUCAGUGAGCACUUGUUUUGUGUCACAUUCUCUCCAGAGUUUUAUACUGAUUAUUUUAUUCAACCUCAACAACCAUCUUUGAAUUAGCUACUAUUGUUAUUAUGCCCAUCUCAUAGAUUAGAAGACAGAAGUCCACAUCAAAUGCACUUGACUUGGGAGGAUAAUUGAUAAUAAUUUUCAACUAUGAUUUUAUUUACUGGUUGCAUGCUAUUUGUGCAUUACUUAUAGAAGUCAUGUUGACUAAGUGAAGAAAAGACUGGGGAAUACGUUAAAACAUUUCUCUAAAGCUGAUUUUGAAUGAUAUGAGCUUAAAAUAAAACUAUUUCAAUAUCACCUUUGUUAGAUUGCCAGCAAUGCCUGUAGGCUUUUACGCUGUGGUGAAACCUUAACUUUCCCCAAACUUCAUGGUCACACUUCCAUUUAAGCACAAAAAGGGUGUAGAGUCACAAUAUAUUAAGUUAUUUUUUGGCACCAGAAACAAGAAGUACCCAUCAGCAGUAUGCCAACCUGUGCAAGAAUUUUCACUAACUGGCCCU